rnacentral:sRNA from 1 species
GCGAAGCGACGCAUCAUCGCGAUGCGCGACUCCUCGAUCUCCUCGCGCU